AGCAUUUUGGGGCGGGCGCUUGUUUUGUUUUAAAUGAUACCUCUAGAAAUCGUUUGCUGUACACCUGGAUAACAAAUAUACCCCGUGGUUCUAAUAUCAGCGUCCUAUUCCUCCUCCCAAGGAACUAGUGAUAGCGCCUAACCAGUGGGCGUUGUUCCUCUUCCGGAGCCCCACUCUGGGCUUCCCUCCUCCGGGCUUGUUGUUCUUCAGGAUCUUUACUGAUGAAUUAUUAUGGGUUUUUGGAUUUAUGCUCUUGCUCAAAAUGUAUUGAAUGUCUCUGUCCCCCAUCCUCACCCCUUGCCCCCCAGUUUCCAGGUGUGUACCUUUCCAUGCAUACACGGUCAUAUACAGAGACAUAAAGACAAACGGUUCUCUUUGUUUUAUAAAAACGGGUCCUCUAUCAUCCA
rnacentral:lncRNA from 1 species